CCUACGUGAGGCAGCAGUAGGGAAUCUUCCACAAUGGGCGAAAGCCUGAUGGAGCAACGCCGCGUGGGUGAAGAAGGUCUUCGGAUCGUAAAACCCUGUUGUUAGAGAAGAAAGUGCGUGAGAGUAACUGUUCACGUUUCGACGGUAUCUAACCAGAAAGCCACGGCUAACUACGGGCCAGCAGCCGCGGUAAUACGUAGGUGGCAAGCGUUAACCGGAUUUAUUGGGCGUAAAGGGAACGCAGGCGGCCUUUUAAGUCUGAUGUGAAAGCCUUCGGCUUAACCGGAGUAGUGCAUUGGAAACUGGGAGACUUGAGUGCAGAAGAGGAGAGUGGAACUCCAUGUGUAGCGGUGAAAUGCGUAGAUAUAUGGAAGAACACCAGUGGCGAAAGCGGCUCUCUGGUCUGUAACUGACGCUGAGGUUCGAAAGCGUGGGUAGCAAACAGGAUUAGAUACCCUUGUAGUC
rnacentral:rRNA from 1 species